rnacentral:rRNA from 1 species
UACGUAGGAGGCGAGCGUUGUCCGGAGUUACUGGGCGUAAAGGGUGCGCAGGCGGCGGUUCGCGUGGCGAGAUGAAAUCUCCUGGCUUACCUGGGAGGAUGGUCGCCAGACGGGAUCGCUUGAGGGUCGGAGAGGGGCGUGGAAUUCCGGGUGGAGCGGUGAAAUGCGUAGAGAUCCGGAGGAACACCGACGGCGUAGGCAGCGCCCUGGACGACACCUGAC